UACGGGGGGAGCAAGCGUUGUUCGGAUUUACUGAGCGUAAAGGGCGCGUAGGCGGUCAGCACAAGUCAGUUGUGAAAUCUCCGGGCUUAACUCGGAAAGGUCAACUGAUACUGUGCGACUAGAGUGCGGAAGGGGCAACUGGAAUUCUCGGUGUAGCGGUGAAAUGCGUAGAUAUCGAGAGGAACACCUGCGGCGAAGGCGGGUUGCUGGGCCGACACUGACGCUGAUGCGCGAAAGCCAGGGGAGCGAACGGG
rnacentral:rRNA from 1 species